GUGCCAGCCGCCGCGGUAAUACAGAGGUGGCAAGCGUUGUUCGGAAUUACUGGGCGUAAAGGGCGCGUAGGCGGCCCGAUAAGUCCCGCGUGAAAUCCCCCGGCUCAACCGGGGAACUGCGCGGGAAACUGUCGAGCUUGAGUUCGGGAGAGGGAAGCGGAAUUCCGGGUGUAGCGGUGAAAUGCGCAGAUAUCCGGAGGAACACCGGUGGCGAAGGCGGCUUCCUGGACCGACACUGACGCUGAGGCGCGAAAGCUAGGGGAGCAAACGGGAUUAGAUACCCUCGUAGUCC
rnacentral:rRNA from 1 species